rnacentral:rRNA from 1 species
UAAGGCCUUGCGCGAUUAGAGCGGCCGAUACCUGAUUAGCUAGUUGGUGAGGUAAAGGCUCACCAAGGCAACGAUCAGUAGCUGGUCUCGAGAGGACGAUCAGCCACACUGGGACUGAGACACGGCCCAGACUCCUACGGGAGGCAGCAGUGGGGAAUUUUGGACAAUGGGGGAAACCCUGAUCCAGCGAAUGCCGCGUGAGUGAAGAAGGCCUUCGGGUUGUAAAGCUCUUUUGUCAGGGAAGGAAACAGCAGCUCUAAUACAGUCUGCGAAUGACGGUACCUGAAGAAUAAGCACCGGCUAACUACGUG